GAAACGAUCUUCACUUCUGUGCCCUCUGAGGAAACCACCAACCCUCAGGUGACUGAGUUCCCUGUCAAAUCUUCGACUGAUGAGAUUAUCUUGGUGACUAAAGAGAUACCUGAUGGCUAUACAGUCAAUGGGACACCAGUUGAUACCUCUAGCAGUACCCCAGGCACCGUUAAAAACGUGUAUCUCACUACUGUGCCAGUUACACCAAGUACAAAUCCAGUGACAGUAACCACUCCAGCUGGAAAAGACAAACCUGAAGUCUUCCAAAAGAUUGUGGGCACUGUCGACCCAAGUGAUUCUUCUCUUUAUGAAGUUCCCGUCAAUGGUCCAGUAUCAGCCAUUCUUGUGCCAGCAACUGCUAGUGUAACUGAAAUUGUCAUAUGCCAGCACGAAACAACAGGAACGACUACAAG